AAGGUUAUCAACGAGGUACAGGGGAGCUGGGAAGGCAUUAGUCAUUGUCACAAGACAAGUUCUCUAUAAAUCACAGGUUACCAAGAAUUCUGUGUUCCACCCAAAACAGUGACAUGAUGACAACAAAGACUGAGAGCGUACAAGCAGCAAAAGAAUAAGCAACUCUGUCGGUCCUGUUGAUAAGUGAUGUAUAGCCAUAACUCAGGCCACCAAAGACUUUAUGGCCAUAAACUUACCACUAUUCAUUAUCAGGCAGCUCCUCAUCUAGACCACUCUGAGCAAUUCUAUAGUACAGGAUAGCCAUGGUUGCCAUGCAAGCCCUGCACGUAAGAAAGUAGAGAAGUUUCAUGUCUACCAAAAACUAAACUAAUGAUAAUGAUAAUAAUAAACAUAACAACCUUUACAUUUUCAUCUGACAACUAGCUUUGACCUGAAUCUAUAGGUAAGCUUAGGGUGUUAGCUAUGUGUAAGAAGCAGAAUUCAACAGAAUAAAUUUGAUCAAGAAAGGGAGCAAUAAAAUGGGGAAACCAAGAAUCAGAGUUAGCAUUACAUGAUUGCUAUAAUGAGGAGGAGUUUUCUUGGAUCCAUUCUUGAAGACUUAUGAUGGCGCUGACGACCUUCAGGGACUUCAUCAGUAUUUGAAGCAUCUUUUCGU
rnacentral:lncRNA from 1 species